rnacentral:rRNA from 1 species
UACGUAGGGUGCAAGCGUUAAUCGGAAUUACUGGGCGUAAAGCGUGCGCAGGCGGUUUUGUAAGUCUGACGUGAAAUCCCCGGGCUUAACCUGGGAAUUGCGUUGGACGACUGCAAGGCUGGAGUCUGGCAGAGGGGGGUGAGAAUUCCACGUGUGAGCAGUGAAAUGCGUAGAGAUGUGGAGGAACACCGAUGGCGAAGGCAGCCCCCUGGGUCAAGACUGACGCUCAUGCACGAAAGGCGUGGGGAGCAAACAGAUUAGAGUACC